rnacentral:snoRNA from 1 species
UUGGCCGCCAAUGAAGGCCAGCAGCUUGCUGAAGCUGUUGGUUUCAACCAGGAGCCUAAAGAAAAGUCUUUCUGUGGUCUGUUGACCAUUUCAGAAAUUUGGAAAUGUAAAGGUCAAUUCGUUAGAAAGAAACAUCU